rnacentral:pre_miRNA from 1 species
ACAACAUCCGAACCGUUGGUCUACCGAGCAAUUUCACAAGCUCGAUGGAAAAUCUGCCCUUUGUGGA